ensembl:lncRNA
CGGAGAUCUGAAAUCCCAGUGAAUUACUUUAGCCGGUGACAUUCCCACAGGAACAGGAAAUCCUGCUGUGGAUAACCUAGAGGAAUGGUGAGCUUUGGUCAAUGUGUAGCUCUGAGGAGUAACCAUGAAACAACCCAUUUAUAACCAGCAGGGACGUACAGCCUGCGUACUGCAUUUUAAUGCAGACAAACUCACAAGUGAACUGAUCAGAGAUCAGAUGACAGAAAGCGAUCGCUGAGCCGAGGUUGUAGUCUGCUGAACGAGCCGUCCUAUUGGUUGUUUCUGCCUGUCGCUCACAGACGCUGAUUUGAGAGCUGCUGACACUGAGACGGUCCGUUUGCAGAGGUACUUCAGGAUCUGCGAGAGUCUCUGCAAACCUCCGUACGUCUUUGCCAGAGUGUGAGGAUGAGUGCAGAGGGAACAUCGGGCCGUUCUCCAAAGGGAAUCUUAAUGAAUUCUUGCGCUGGUGUCAUCUAUAUUUCAGGAGCCUUAGAAACCAGAGCGGCCUUGUAGGCUCCCCCCAUAACCCCACCGCCCCGAAGAAGGACCAGCACCGCGCGCACUCAGCUCCUGGAUGUGGGUCAUGCUUAAAUAUGAAUUUUUCAUAUCUUUUGCAACUGUCCCCUGAUUUUGGCCCUGCAUUCAAAGUCGCAGCGCAGCUGGUGGAAAUGUGACACGGCCCCACCCUCGCUGUGUGAACUUCCCUCGGAAACUUUCCACUAAGCACACAUGAUGGUUCCUUUGUGAGUGCGCAUGCGCCAUUAGCGCGUGCUGCCUGCUGUAACCCCUAAUUUCCCUCGGGAUGAAUAAAGUAUUCUGAUUCUGAUGAUG